ensembl:lncRNA
CACAUUGCACACAGUAGACUUUGCUGCUUUCCUCAUGUGUUUGUUUGUUUGUUUGUGUCAGAUGCUGAGAGACCCAGCGGUGGACGUCCAGAGAACAGAGAUGCUGAGAGACCAAGCGGUGGACGUCCAGAGAACAGAGAUGCUCAGAGACCAAGCGGUGGACGUCCAGAGAGCAGAGAUGCUGAGAGACCAAGCGGUGGACGUCCAGAGAGCAGAGGUGAGUUGCACAUUGUCAUCCAUUGCACACAGUAGACUUUGCUGCUUUCCUCAUGUGUUUGUUUGUUUGUUUGUUUGUUUGUUUGUGUCAGAUGCUGAGAGACCCAGCGGUGGACGUCCAGAGAGCAGAGGUG